UAAAACCAGCACCUCAAGUGGUCAGGAUGAUUAUUGGGCCUAAAGCAUCCGUAGCCGGCUCUGUUAGUUUUCGGUUAAAUCUAUGUGCUCAACGCAUGGGCUGCCGAAAAUACUGCAGGGCUAGGGAGUGGGAGAGGUAGACGGUACUCGGUAGGAAGGGGUAAAAUCCUUUGAUCUAUCGAUGACCACCUGUGGCGAAGGCGGUCUACCAGAACACGUUCGACGGUGAGGGAUGAAAGCUGGGGGAGCAAACCGGAUUAGAUACCCGGGUAGUCCCAGCUGUAAACGAUGCAGACUCGAUGAUGCAUUGGCUUAUUGCCAAUGCAGUGUCGCAGGGAAGCCGUUAAGUCUGCCGCCUGGGAAGUACGUACGCAAGUAUG
rnacentral:rRNA from 1 species